rnacentral:tRNA from 1 species
GGAUGAGUGUCCGAGCGGUCGAAGGAGACGGUCUUGAAAACCGUUGAUGGGAAACCAUCCGCGAGUUCGAAUCUCGCCUCAUCCGCCU